rnacentral:ncRNA from 1 species
UUGUCGGAGUGCCUAAGGGCUGAGACCGUUUAUUCGGGAUCCGUUGAACCUGAUCUGGUUAAUACCAGCGAAGGAAACAAGCA